UUUAACGCUGGCGGCAGGCCUAACCCAUGCAAGUCGCACGGUAACAGGAAGAAGCUUGCUUCUUUGCUGACGCGUGGCGGACGGGUGAGUAAUGUCUGGGAAACUGCCUGAUGGAGGGGGAUAACUACUGGAAACGGUAGCUAAUACCGCAUAACGCCGCAAAACCAAAGAGGGGGACCUUCGGGCCUCUUGCCAUCGGAUGUGCCCAGAUGGGAUUAGCUAGUAGGUGGGGUAACGGCUCACCUAGGCGACGAUCCCUAGCUGGUCUGAGAGGAUGACCAGCCACACUGGAACUGAGACACGGUCCAGACUCCUACGGGAGGCAGCAGUGGGGAAUAUUGCACAAUGGGCGCAAGCCUGAUGCAGCCAUGCCGCGUGUAUGAAGAAGGCCUUCGGGUUGUAAAGUACUUUCAGCGGGGAGGAAGGGAGUAAAGUUAAUACCUUUGCUCAUUGACGUUACCCGCAGAAGAAGCACCGGCUAACUCCGUG
rnacentral:rRNA from 1 species